UUGCAACCUCCGCCUCCUGGGUUCAAGCAAUUCUCCUGCCUCAGCCUCCUGAGUAGCUGGGAUUACAGGCGCCCGCCACCACUCCCAGCUAAUUUUUGUAUUUUUAGUAGGGACGAGGUUUCACCAUGUUGGUCAGGCUGGUCUCAAACUCCUGACCUCGUGAUCUGCCCUCCUUGGCCUUCCAAAGUGCUGGGAUUACAGGCGUGAUGGAGAUGAUACUCCCUAAAUCACAAGGGUGUGGUGUGAAGAUGAAAUGGCUGCACGUGACAGAGGAGUUGGAGAACAGGAAGCAAGUGGAUUACUUGGAUGAACUGUGAUGGGCCCAAGAAGAACUAAGCCAAUCACUCCAGGGGGCGUUUUCCCAGGAUCCAGGCAGAGAGCUGAUUCCAGCAUCCACGUUGUAUCCCCCUCCCGCUGUGGCCGGGGUCUCCAAGAGCCGGGCACCCACUGCAGAGCUUCCAAGCCCAGGCCCAUUUGAACACAGGAGGACUUUUGAGGUUCAUUUAACCCCAAAAUCAGUGAUUCUACAUCUCAAGCUCAUAUUUUGAAGUGUUUACGGGUAAGUCAUAUGAUACUGGUCAUUUAUUUUUUAAAUAUUCUAGCCAAAAGUACAUGGUAGACAAAGUGAGAAUGUCAGAAUGUUGAUAAUUAGUGAAACUAGACGAAGAUACAUGAAAGUUUAAUUUUGAUUCUCACCUACUUUCAUGUGCAUUAGGAAACUUUCAUAAUAAGUUAAAGUAACAAAAUAGGCCAGACUCGGCUGCUCAUGCCUGCAAUCCCAGCACUUUGGGCGGCUAAGGCAGGCGGAUUACUUGAGGUCACGAGUUUGAAACCAGCCUGGCCAACGUGGUGAAACCCCAUCUCCCCUAGAAAAUAAAACAAAAAAAAAAAUUGUAGCUGGGCAUGGUGGCAGGCCCCUGUAAUCCCACCUACUCAGGAGGGUGAGGGAGGAGAAUCGCUUGAGCCUCAGAGGCAGAGGUUGCAGUGAGCCAAGAUUGCGCCAUUGCACUCCAGCCUGGGUGAGAGAGCGAGACUCCAUCUCUGAAUAAAUAAAGUAACAAAAUACAUUUCAGUCUCGAGCUCCAGUUCCCUGCCAGGAAGAGCUGAAGCUGAGCUCUGGCACCCCCUGCUUCUUCUCCCUCAUCCCUAAAACAUGUGGGGUACUGGGUGCCAAAGGAGAUCUGAAGAUGGCCACCACUCAGACCAGCAGUAGAGGCCAAGAAGGUGGUGAGAAAUUUUAAGGUAUUGUAGCAUAUGCUCUCCAGGGUGAGGACACAGGAUGCUGGGACCUAAGGAGGGAGAAGUUAACCCAGAGAGGGCCCAAGUCAGGGAGGACCUGACUGUGGUGACAGAGCCAGUCAUGCUAAUAAUAGGAGCAGUGGUUUUGCAAUCACAAAUAUUGGUCUGGGGGACUGCGGGCCCAAUGUGGUGGGAGUUUUAGAGCAGGGACCCCUCCACUGUACGUGGAUUCUUAUACUUGCUAAGUUGCACUGAAUUCUCAAUCAACCCAUUUGGAGGCUCUCACCAAGACAGGAGUCCCUUUGAAUUGGUAGGAUGUUAAAAGCUUCCUCCAGCCAUUGACCCUGGGUCCCAUUGGUAGAAAUCAGAUAAUAAAUCAGAUUUUCCAGGUAAUCCUCAGUUUAAUGUCCAUUCCCUCAUUCAAUCAAUUAUUCAAUUACAAAUCAUUUUUAAUAUGAUUUUAUGGUUCAGGAAUUCAGGCAGGGCUCAGAUGGGCAGUUCUUCUGCCCCACAUGGCAUUGGCUGAUAACAGGCUACCCCAAGGAAAUCACAGUGUAAUGGGAGAUGGGAAAUAGGUUAACACAAAGUUACUAUACUACAAGAAAAAUCUUCAAAUCUUCAAUCUUCAUUCUUCAUGGGUGUGAGUCUUCUCUGGUGGAGAAGAGAGUUCUUUGCUAAAUUAUAUUCCUGUGUUAGCCAGCCAAGCACACACGGAGUACAGCUGUCCCUUGCUAUUCAUGGCAGAUUGAUCCCAGACACUGCCACCCCCAGCCCUGUGAACACCAAAACCCAUGGAUGCUCAAGUCCUUGAUAUAAAAUGGUAUGGUAUUUGCACAUAACCUACACACAUCUUCCCAUAUACUUUAAAUCAUCACUAGAUUACUUAUAAUACCUAAUGCAAUGUAAAUGCUAUGUAAGUAGUUGCUACGCUGUAUUGCUUAGGGAAUAAUGACAAGAAAAAAAGGCUGUACAACUUCAGUACAAAUGCUAUCAUUCAUUUUUUUAUCUGAAUAUUAUGAUCCAUGAAUACAGAGGGCUGGCUGUAAAAAGAAUGUACAGUUUGGUACUUUACUCCUAGUUUAAGUCAUCUCUUUCGGCCCAUACAGGUUGCCUGGGGCAGGGCGGUGGUGAGUGUGUUGAGUCGGCCCUAUACCCUGUUCCACAAUGCCUGGUGUCCUUGGCACGUAGCUUGCAGGGCUGCUUCCAUGGAUGGCUGCCUCAUCCCCCACCCCUCCUUCAUGGCACCCUCUUUUCUCCAACUCCUUUUCCUCUGCUGAGUCCUACCUUUUCUUGCCAGACCAGGGAUUUGCCAAUUAUUCUGGAUGGGCACAGGGAAGGGGCCCUCAGAUCCUGCAGAGGGAGCAUCUGAAAGACAAUGAGACCCUGUACACAACCAAGCUGAGCCUCCUGUAAGCACAUCCUCUGGGUGUCACUAUGCGAAAAGACUCUUUGUCUGUUUACAUUGCACAACGAAUUGUCCCUCUGAUUGUCCUAGCGUUGGUGCAUGCAUGGAUCCAGGAAGAGCAGGUAUUUGGACCCAACGAGACAGGUUCAUCUUGGCAGUUUGUCUCCUGUGGUUGCUUUGUGCCUGCCCCGUAUCUAUCCACCCAACUUCUGGCAGCAAUCCCUCCAGGACCCACCUCUGUCUUCAUGGUUUGUGUGUUCUGAUCCUGCUCCUUGGCCCCAGAAUACACCCUCCACAUCUAAGCUAUGCAGUGCCUCAUCCCCACAGCUGCAGCGAUUGGUUUAGGAAUGGGAAAAUAAUCCAAUCAAAGUAAGAUUGUCUAAUAUCUGAUCCCGCUUACCCCGGAGCCAGAAGUCCCACCUUUCCAGGCUCCUCCAUGUUCCUUUCUGGAGCAAUGAGGAGGAAGGUUCAUUCCCUUCUCAGGGAACUUGCUGCGGUGUCCCAGUCCUGACUGUCCCCUCUCUACCCCUGCCUGUGGCUCUCCCGUCUCCUGGCAUUCUAACCUGCCACUGAAUUCUUCCCACGCCAAACGCAGGUUAGGAACCUAAGCUCGGAUGAAAUGCUGGCUUAGACCUCAUUGCUACUGAGAAGCAGAAACCACACUUUUUAGUUGGUAGAGGUGGAUGUGGAUUGGGGCCAUAAAGUUUCCUCAAUCAUUGAAUAAGGAUUUCAUUAUUUGGACUAACUAAAUACAUUAGAUUAUUUAUACUAACUAAAUAAAUUAGAUUUAUUUUUCGAAGUUUAAAAUCAUUUUCAAUAGUGACGAAAAAGGCUGUAGAUGAGAUGGGAGAAUCUUUCGACGCCAAAUUCUUCCCAUCUCCUGCCUAGUAUGUAUCACUACACCUUGCCCAGAGAGACUGUAGGGGUGCUCAGCAAAAACCAUGGCUGGUUGAUUCCCUGGAAAAAGGGGUGCUGUCCCAGGGAGCUCUGUGCCCUUCCUGCCAACACUGGGGUCUAGAGGAGGCAAGUUCCCCUCUGAAGGUGAGUAUGAUUCACUCAUUAAAACUAAGAAAUUUACAUUGGUAUGUUACUGUUAACUAACCUACAGACUUUUUUUAGAUUUCACCGUUCUUUACACUCUCGUCCUUUCCAAUUUCCGGGAUCCAAUGCAGGAUACCAGGUUGCAUUUUUGGAUGUGUCCAGUCUGUGAUCAUUUCUCAAUCUUUCCUCAUUUUCUCAUGACUUUUGACAUUUAUUUAUUUAUUUAUUGUGUGAGACUGAGUCUCACUCUGUUGCCUAGGCUGGAGUGCAGUGGCCCCAUCCUGGCUCACUACAAUCUCCACCUCCCGGGUUCAAAUGAUUCUCCUGCCUCAGCCUCCCAAGCAGCUGGGAUUACAGGCGCACACCACCACGCCUGGCUAAUUUGUAUUUUUAGUAGAGAUGGGGUUUCACCAUGUUAGCCAGGCUGGUCUCAAACUCCUGACUUCAGGUGAUCUGCCUGCCUCGGCCUCCCAAAGUGCUAGGAUUACAGGCGCAGGCCACCACGCCCAGCCUGACUUCUGACAUUAGAGUACAGGGAGGGAUUCUGUAGAAUGUCCCUCAAUUUGGGUGUGUCUGGUGUUUUGCCAUGAGACUGGGGUUAUGCUUCUGGGUGCCACACAGAGGUGAAAUGUCCUUCUCAUCACAUUAUUCGAGAGGUACAUGGUACCAAUGGGACUUAUCGCUGCUGAUGUUAACCUUGAUCUCUUGGUUCAGGUGGUGCCUGCCAGCUGUCUCCACUGUGGAGUUACUAUUUUUCCUUUUCCCCAUUUUAUUCAUCAGAAGCCAGUCACUAAGCGAGGUCAAACUCCAGGACAGGGGAAUUAAGUGCCACCUUCUGGAGAGGGAGCAUUCACAUUUAUUACUUGGGAUCCUUCUGUAAGGAAGAGCUGUUUCUCCUCUAAAAAACUCUUUAAUCCUUUUAAGCCUCAAUUUCUUAAUUGUGAAAUGGGGCUAAUACCUGUAUCCAACCAAGGGAGUAGUUAGAAGGUAACAUGAUAGGUGGAAAGCACUUAACAUAGGCAAAAUGUUAUUAUCAGGAAUGAUCGAGAGACCCAUCCAACUAUCUGAAGGAGUCACUUAACUCUACUGUACUGCAGCGCUGUAAAGUCUGCAUCUUUCACUGGGGGUAAAGGCCCCCAGUCCCUGAGACGGGCCAGUUUGGAGACAGGCUGGUUUUUUCUCUGUUCUCCUGAGAGCCCUUCAGAUGAGAAGGGAGGUCUGGAGACAGAAUGCCAAAAGCCCAUUAAAGGCACGGCCUUGCAUUUCAGAGAGGGAGCAGGUCUAGAGAAGAACCAGAGGAGCUCAGCUGAGAUAUGGUGUAUGGAUUGGAUUUUGGUAGAAGAUGGGAAGAACCAAACACCUGAGAAACCACUUUGAAGAUCGGGGUCAGAGUAAGGCCUAACACAUAGUUGGCUCCCAGUAAUUAUUGGUUGAUUGAACAGCUCAAAGAGCAACUCGACCAAGAACACUGGACUGGGAGUCCAGUUACUUGGAUCUUGCAUUCCUGAUUUAUUUUUAUUUUAUAUGUAUUUUUUCUAUUUUUUUGAGACGAAGUCUCACUCACUCUGUCGCCCAGGCUGGACUACAAUGGCACGAUCUCGGCUCACUGCAAACUCUGCCUCCCAGGUUCAAGCGAUUCUCCUGCCUCAGCCUCUCGAGUAGCUAGGAUUACAGGCAUGCACCACCACGCUGGCUAAUUUUUGUAUUUUUAGUAGAGACGGGGUUUUGCCAUGUUGGCCAUGCUGGUGUCCACCUCCUGACCUCAGUUGAUCUUCCUGCCUCAGCCUUCCAAAAUGUUGGGAUUACAGGCGUGAGCCACCGUGCCUGGCCGUGAUUUAUUUUUUUUGUGUAUGUUUGUUUUUGUCAACUUGCUGUGUGACCUUAAGCAAGUUACUUAACUUCUCUGGGCUUCACUUUCCAUGGAUGAACAUUGUAAAGAGGCUGGAGAGAGAUGAGGACUAGGUACAGGCUUUAGAGGAGAGCCACCGCCCCGGACUUCUCCCUCUGUCACCCCGCUUUCCAUGACCCUCCUUGCCUGACUUUGUGACUCCUUGCCUCGCUAUCAAAACAAGUGCUGCAAUCUCAGUGCUUUCCAAGAGCCCUGCAUUGUUAGAAACUUCCCAGCACGCAGCAAAGGCUGCUGCAAUACUCGCUCUGCCUGCCUUUGCCCUGCGCUUCCUACUUACCCUCCUUUUGUUUCUCCCAAACAUCUGUCCCUGACUAUGCUCAUCUCAUGUUUGUCCUCAGCUGCUGAAAGGGCCACGUUUGUUUUCAUUACAAAUAAGACCACCGAGUGGGCUCCUGGCGUGGGGGCGGGACCAGCCGCGCGCAGUCUUCAGAGGCAGCCCCCCAGGCUGUCUCUGGAGGGUGUGUCUCUGCUUCCCUUUCCCCGUGUUUAUUUUCAGACGAAGCCAAGUGGCCCGGGGGGACCCUCCGGACUCCCAGCCUUCAGAGAGGAGGGCAGCUCGGGCUUUCGCCGCAGUGCUUCCUGCCCGUCACGUGUGUGCUCCUAGCCGGGGUCGGGGGAGCUGGUAUCUUGGCCCUUCUGGGAGGACGCGCACAGCCCGAGGAGGCAGAGCCCCAGACGGGAAUGGGCUUUUCAGAGGUGGGGUGCGGGCGAGGGGACGAUGCAUUAUUUUUAAUAUUUGAUUUAUUUUUCCAACUGGACUUCUUCCCGGGGCUCUUUCUGGGCCCAGCUGCCUUUGUGAUCCCGCGCCCCGGUCCUCGGCCUCUCACCUCCAGCGCCGGGGCGCCCCCUGCUGUCGGAAGCGGCUGUGACCGGGCAGAGGUGCUAUCUGGGACUCUGGGUUCUCAGCCCGGGGACAGCGAACCGAGGGGCAGAUGAUCCAUCAGAAAAGAGCCGGCACUGCCCAGCCCCGCGCCCCUGCCCCUGCCUUUUUCCGGGAGCGCAAGGAGAAGGUCAGGAGCGGCGGUGUGGAUGUCCCUUGGCUGCAGGCCCCGCCGCGCACUCCCUUCAGUCCUUCCCUUCUCUAGGGACCAGGUAGCAUCAGUGCCUGGAUCUCGGCCUUGUGUGCCCUGCUCCCUGCCCCACCUACUAAGAACCAAGUCUGGUUCACCGGCUCCCAAGAGCUGGAACCCAUUCUCAGCUAGCUGGGGGCCCAGGCCACCCCUUCCCUCCAGACCUGUGUGCCUUCUGCCCUGGCUCCAGGGCCCCCCACACCGUGACCAGGGCGGGAUCCCUAUGGGGCUGGCCAGGCGGCACCGUGCCAGGCCCACAGUGCCCUGGGCGUCCAUGGAAGUCGUUCUGUGUCUUUAAAAUCAGAAGGAAGACAUUAACCUUUAGGCUGAAGAAAAUGUUUUAGUACACAGCAAUAACUUAUUUGUCUUUAUCCAACAGCCAUAAAAUAUAACUUUAAAUAUUCUAUUGAUAGAGAAAGGAGUUCAUGAAGGCAGAAAUGCCUGGGGCCCACGAACAUCCCAGUGUGGCCCUGGACGGGACAUCAUGCUGGGCAACACAGCUAAAAUGCGGGUGAAGACCAGAUUUCUUGCACAUGGCGGUGACGGGAUGCUCCCUAGAGAGCUUCAAGUGGAUUCUUUGCUUUUUAUU
rnacentral:lncRNA from 1 species